UUAGCCCUAAACACAAAUAAUUAUAAAAACAAAAUUAUUCGCCAGAGUACUACCGGCAACAGCCUAAAACUCAAAGGACUUGGCGGUGCUUUAUACCCUUCUAGAGGAGCCUGUUCUAUAAUCGAUAAACCCCGAUAGACCUCACCAAUUCUUGCUAAUACAGUCUAUAUACCGCCAUCUUCAGCAAACCCUAAAAAGGAAUAAAAGUAAGCAUAAUCACAACACAUAAAAACGUUAGGUCAAGGUGUAACCUAUGAAAUGGGAAGAAAUGGGCUACAUUUUCUACCACAAGAAAAUCACACGAAAGUUAUUAUGAAACUAAUAACCAAAGGAGGAUUUA
rnacentral:rRNA from 1 species